GUCGGUCCGCGCAUGCGCACUAGGCUCCAGCCUUUUUCCCGCGCUGCAGCUCGGGGCCGCUGUGAGUGGCUCCUGGAGAUCACGUGGUUUGGGCGCCCUCCAUUUUCCGUGGACCAUUGCGUAAACGCAUGCGUAAACGGGAGCUCCCGGCGGAUGCCCUCGCGCUCUCUGCAGGGAAUAGCCCACGUUCGGCAUUCACGGUGCUUUUCUGGGGCAUAUUCUUGAAUCGCCCUAUUGGGCAUUCAUCCGACGUUCUCAGGACAUAUAAAAUUCGCAAUGGUUGUUUGGGUUCGUUGGAGCGUACUACGUUGUUCCGCGCUCCGCCGGUGAGGAGUGACAUGGCACAACGUAUUCUUCCGCAGUACGUUCCUUCCCGCUGCCCGCUUUCUUGCCGCUGUCUGCGUUGCAACCUCGCCUUUGAGAGGGAUGACAGCUUGCUUUUUAAGUACAGGUCUAAUGUUUGCUUAAGACGGUGGAUGCAUUGCAAUGGCGGCAGGAGAGGAUCGGCUGCAUCGGUGAAGCGACGAUGUACAUUACAAGCGAGGUUAAUUGUAUUCUUUCGUUAUAGGUGACCGUGGGACUGUAUCGAUUGCGAGGAGGUGAGUUACAAAAUGGAGUACUAUUCCAGCAUUAACGUUGGAACAAUACCAGCGUGAUAUUCACUUCGGUUUCUUUACAGGUUGUUUGCUGUCUCAACGGUCACACAUACGCGUGCAAGAUGCUUCUCACAUGGAAUUGGCGGAAUUGGUGUCUGUUGCCACUUGUUGGGCAAUUGUUCCUCGGCCAUUUCAUUUGAGGAACCGUCAUGUUCGUCACUAAGGAUCUUCGUUGAGCUUUCAGUGCCAGCCUGUUCGAAGUUUCGAGGAUUGUGUGUUCGGCGUUUGGAGGACUGCCUGGUGCAUCGGAUCAUCGGAUGGUUUGUGUGUCCGUGCAACGUGUGCUCCAUAUGUGUGUGUUGGGAUUAGUGAACCGUGUAUGUUUUCCAUUCGGCAAACGAUGAUGUACUGGAUGCAAUUUAAAGGUAUGUGCAAGCCAAUAAAAUUUGGUGUUUCAUGUUC